CUUAAACUCACAGCUUUUCUUUUCUCCGGGUCAAACCAGGUACCUCCAAGCCAUUUCCAGCUCAGGGCUGACCGACCCCCAUUGACCCCAUGUGGCUGCGCCAAUUUGUAAUUUUUGGUCAGAAAAGGCGCGCCGAUCGUAUUCCGCCCUCCACCCCAAAGAAAAAGGCCCAACAAUUGAUGAAGGUCUUGAACGAUGGGCGGUGCAAGUGAAAGUGGUGAAGGGUCAGCGAUCGCAGUUAUUUUCCGGGUACAGUUGCUUUUGCUCUGUCUCCGUCUUUAGCUCUAAAAUGUGGCAAUAAUGUAUACAUUUGCAUUGUUGUAGAGGCUUUUUGUGUUCGUUGCAAGACACUUGCUAGAGCAUAUAAAUGCUUUGCCAAUUUCUUUACUCUCUGAUACUUGAUUUUAAUGGGUUAUGGAUAAAUUGUGUGCUUUCUGAUAUUUGGGCAAAUUCCAUAUUGAACAAUGUGAAAUUCAUAGGCCAAAGAAUGAAAUUGAAAAUUUGAUAUUGAGGAAGACAGUGGAGAAAAAAAAAGGAAAAAAAAAGAUUUAUAUAAAUCUUUUCAAAGAAUAUUCACCUUCUUGCAGCAGAUUAUGUGCGUUGUCAUGCAGGAUAGGGGCAUAGUAGGGCCUUGCUCCUGAUCUCUUGGCUAUGUCUUCCUUUGAAUUAAAAUGGGUUGAUGGUAUUUCUUCCAUAUGCCUUUUGUGUUGACAAUGUUUACAUGGACUUUUUUGACACGUCUGGUGCUAAAAUCCGUUUUGAAAGGGAUGGUUGGUUGGUUGUUACGUCUGGUGCUACAAUAGAUGUUCGGAGCAAUAUCACUAUCCCCACUAGCAUUUAUUGUCUGGGUGGAUAAAAUCUGUCCAAAUUGAUUGGUUUUUUCUUUGUCCCCAAGGUGAUGGUUCUUGGUGUAUUCUACAGUAUACAACAAGGGAAUUGCUGUUCCAUGGAAUCAAGGACGUGAGAACAUCUUGGUGUGUUGGCUGGUUUUCAGUCCAUAGUUUUUACAAGAAAAAGGACGUUGGAAGCUCAAAUAUGGUUUGAUUAUUGGGUUGUGUCUCUUUGUGACGAAACUCAUACAUGCGAACAUGCUCUUUUUUCUUGAAUUCAGAGGUGUGCUAUUUGUUCUGUGGUGUCUGCAGAAGGCUACUUUCUGUUGAAUACAUUGUAUUUCGCCAUUAUUCUAGCUGCAUCUUACUAUUCAUAUGCACCAAACAAAGAAUAAAAUCCAGUGGUAUUUUCUGAAGUUCACUGGUGAAUGAAGUGUCUUCUAUUGGAAUUGGUAGUUAGGACUUUUCUGGGAGCAACUUUUAUAUUUGGAUAUUAAGAGAAUGAAGCACUGUUCCAUUCUGCUUAUGAACCGCCAACCCAGGUGGUUUGUCCUGGUGCCUGAGAGUUGAAUUGUUGUAGGUGUAUUUAUUUAAUUCAUGAAAUGUGAGUUUUAUAAAACUGUAAUUUGAGUGCUA
rnacentral:lncRNA from 1 species